AUAGCGUAUAUUAAAGUUGUUGCAGUUAAAAAGCUCGUAGUUGAACUUCAGGCCUGGUUGGGCGGUCCGCUUAACGGCGUGUACUGUCCGACUGGGUCUUACCUCUUGGUGAGCCAGUGUGCCCUUUAUUGGUGUGCAUUGGGGAACCAGGACUUUUACCUUGAGAAAAUUAGAGUGUUCAAAGCAGGCCUAUGUCUGAAUACAUUAGCAUGGAAUAAUAAAAUAGGACGUGCGGUUCUAUUUUGUUGGUUUCUAGAGUCGCCGUAAUGAUUAAUAGGGAUAGUUGGGGGCAUUGGUAUUGAGUCGCUAGAGGUGAAAUUCUUGGAUUGACUCAAGACCGACUAUUG
rnacentral:rRNA from 1 species